rnacentral:rRNA from 1 species
GUUGUAUGGUUAAGUGACUAAGCGUACACGGUGGAUGCCUUGGCAGUCAGAGGCGAUGAAAGACGUAGUAACUUGCGAUAAGCCCAGAUUAGGUAGUAACAACCAUUUGAGUCUGGGAUUUCUGAAUGGGGAAACCCACGUGCAUAAGCACGUAUCCUUACCUGAAUACAUAGGGUAAGGAGGCGAACCGGGGGAACUGAAACAUCUAAGUACCCCGAGGAAAAGAAAUCAACCGAGAUUCCGAAAGUAGCGGCGAGCGAAAUUGGACUAGCCCUUAAGCUUUAUAGGCGUUAGGUGAACAAGCUGGAAAGCUUGGCGAUACAGGGUGAUAGCCCCGUAACUGACGACGCAUAUUCAGUGAAAUCGAGUAGGGCGGGACACGUGAUAUCCUGUCUGAAUAUGGGGGGACCAUCCUCCAAGGCUAAAUACUACUGACUGACCGAUAGUGAACCAGUACCGUGAGGGAAAGGCGAAAAGAACCCCUGUGAGGGGAGUGAAAUAGAACCUGAAACCGUGUACGUACAAGCAGUAGGAGCAGGCUUGUCCUGUGACUGCGUACCUUUUGUAUAAUGGGUCAGCGACUUAUAUUCAGUGGCAAGGUUAACCAUCUAGGGGAGCCGUAGGGAAACCGAGUCUUAACUGGGCGUUCAGUCUCUGGAUAUAGACCCGAAACCAGGUGAUCUAGCCAUGGGCAGGUUGAAGGUUGAGUAACAUCAACUGGAGGACCGAACCGACUAAUGUUGAAAAAUUAGCGGAUGACUUGUGGCUAGGGGUGAAAGGCCAAUCAAACCUGGAGAUAGCUGGUUCUCCCCGAAAGCUAUUUAGGUAGCGCCUCGGACGAAUACUACUGGGGGUAGAGCACUGUUAAGGCUAGGGGGUCAUCCCGACUUACCAACCCUUUGCAAACUCCGAAUACCAGUAAGUACUAUCCGGGAGACACACGGCGGGUGCUAACGUCCGUCGUGGAGAGGGAAACAACCCAGACCGCCAGCUAAGGUCCCAAAUUACUACUAAGUGGGAAACGAUGUGGGAAGGCUCAGACAGCCAGGAUGUUGGCUUAGAAGCAGCCAUCAUUUAAAGAAAGCGUAAUAGCUCACUGGUCGAGUCGGCCUGCGCGGAAGAUGUAACGGGGCUAAGUAGUAAACCGAAGCUGCGGCAAUAUACUUUUGUAUAUUGGGUAGGGGAGCGUUCUGUAAGCGGUUGAAGGUGUGUGGUAACGCAUGCUGGACGUAUCAGAAGUGCGAAUGCUGACAUGAGUAACGAUAAAGGGGGUGAAAAACCUCCUCGCCGGAAGACCAAGGGUUCCUGUCCAACGUUAAUCGGGGCAGGGUAAGUCGACCCCUAAGGCGAGGCCGAAAGGCGUAGUCGAUGGGAAACGGGUUAAUAUUCCCGUACUUCUUACAAUUGCGAUGGGGGGACGGAGAAGGCUAGGUGGGCCUGGCGACGGUUGUCCAGGUUCAAGUGCGUAGGCUUAAGAGUUAGGUAAAUCCGGCUCUUUCUAAGGCUGAGACACGACGUCGAGCAUCUACGGAUGUGAAGUCAUUGAUGCCAUGCUUCCAGGAAAAGCCUCUAAGCUUCAGAUUGUAAGGAAUCGUACCCCAAACCGACACAGGUGGUCGGGUAGAGAAUACCAAGGCGCUUGAGAGAACUCGGGUGAAGGAACUAGGCAAAAUGGUACCGUAACUUCGGGAGAAGGUACGCUCUCGACGGUGAAGUCCCUUGCGGAUGGAGCUAUUGAGAGUCGCAGAUACCAGGUGGCUGCAACUGUUUAUUAAAAACACAGCACUGUGCAAAAUCGUAAGAUGACGUAUACGGUGUGACGCCUGCCCGGUGCCGGAAGGUUAAUUGAUGGGGUUAGACUUCGGUCGAAGCUCUUGAUCGAAGCCCCGGUAAACGGCGGCCGUAACUAUAACGGUCCUAAGGUAGCGAAAUUCCUUGUCGGGUAAGUUCCGACCUGCACGAAUGGCGUAAUGAUGGCCACGCUGUCUCCACCCGAGACUCAGUGAAAUUGAAAUCGCUGUGAAGAUGCAGUGUACCCGCGGCUAGACGGAAAGACCCCGUGAACCUUUACUACAGCUUGGCACUGAACAUUGACCCUACAUGUGUAGGAUAGGUGGGAGGCUUUGAAGCACGUACGCCAGUAUGUGUGGAGCCGUCCUUGAAAUACCACCCUUGUAGUGUUGAUGUUCUAACGUCGACCCCUUAUCGGGGUUGCGGACAGUGCCUGGUGGGUAGUUUGACUGGGGCGGUCUCCUCCCAAAGAGUAACGGAGGAGCACGAAGGUGGGCUAAUCACGGUUGGACAUCGUGAGGUUAGUGCAAUGGCAUAAGCCCGCUUGACUGCGAGAAUGACAAUUCGAGCAGGUGCGAAAGCAGGUCAUAGUGAUCCGGUGGUUCUGAAUGGAAGGGCCAUCGCUCAACGGAUAAAAGGUACUCCGGGGAUAACAGGCUGAUACCGCCCAAGAGUUCAUAUCGACGGCGGUGUUUGGCACCUCGAUGUCGGCUCAUCACAUCCUGGGGCUGAAGUCGGUCCCAAGGGUAUGGCUGUUCGCCAUUUAAAGUGGUACGCGAGCUGGGUUUAGAACGUCGUGAGACAGUUCGGUCCCUAUCUGCCGUGGGCGUUGGAAGAUUGAAGGGGGCUGCUCCUAGUACGAGAGGACCGGAGUGGACGAACCUCUGGUGUUCGGGUUGUGUCGCCAGACGCAUUGCCCGGUAGCUAAGUUCGGAAUCGAUAACCGCUGAAAGCAUCUAAGCGGGAAGCGAGCCCUGAGAUGAGUCUUCCCUGAUACUUUAAGUAUCCUAAAGGGUUGUCGGAGACUACGACGUUGAUAGGUCAGGUGUGUAAGUGCUGUGAGGCAUUGAGCUAACUGAUACUAAUUGCCCGUGAGGCUUAACCAUACAACACCCAAGGGGUUU